rnacentral:rRNA from 1 species
ACGGAAGGCAGCAGUAGGGAAUCUUCCACAAUGGGCGAAAGCCUGCUGGAGCAACGCCGCGUGAGUGAAGAAGGUCUUCGGAUCGUAAAGCUCUGUUGUUAGAGAAGAACACUGAUGAGAGUAACUGUUUAUCAGUUGACGGUAUCUAACCAGCAAGUCACGGCUAACUACGUGCCAGCAGCCGCGGUAAUACGUAGGUGGCAAGCGUUAUCCGGAUUUAUUGGGCGUAAAGGGAACGCAGGCGGUUUUUUAAGUCUGAUGUGAAAGCCUUCGGCUUAACCGGAGAAUAGCAUUGGAAACUGGAAGACUUGAGUGCUGAAGAGGAGAGUGGAAUUCCAUGUGUAGCGGUGAAAUGCGUAGAUAUAUGGAGGAACACCAGUGGCGAAAGCGGCUCUCUGGUAUGUAACUGACGCUGAGGUUCGAAAGCGUGGGUAGCAAACAGGAUUAGAUACCCUGGUA